rnacentral:rRNA from 1 species
AUACGGGGGAUUCAAGCGUUAUCCGGACUUAUUGGGUUUAAAGGGUGCGUAGGCUGAUAAAUCAGUCAGCGGUGAAAUUUACGGGCUUAACUUGUAGCUUGCCGUUGAAACUGUAUGUCUAGAGUGCAGGAGAGGUAAGUGGAAUUCCUAGUGUAGCGGUGAAAUGCGUAGAUAUUAGGAGGAACACCAGUGGCGAAGGCGGCUUACUGGACUGUAACUGACGUUGAGGCUCGAAGGCGUGGGGAGCAAACAGGAUUAGAUACCCUGGUAGUCCACGCUGUAAACUAUGAUAACUAUCUUUUAGCGAUACACAGUUAGAGGGUACGAGAAAUCAUUAAGUUAUCCACCUGGGGAUUACGUUCGCAAGAAUGAAACUCAAAUGAAUUGACGGGG